CCUACGGGGGGCAGCAGUGAGGCAUCUUGGUCAAUGGACGAGAGUCUGAACCAGCCAAGUAGCGUGAAGGAUGACUGCCCUAUGGGUUGUAAACUUCUUUUAUAAAGGAAUAAAACGAGGCACGUGUGCCUUUUUGCAUGUACUUUAUGAAUAAGGAUCGGCUAACUCCGUACCAUCAGCCGCGGUAAUACGGAGGAUCCGAGCGUUAUCCGGAUUUAUUGGGGUUAAAGGGAGCGUACCUGGGUUGUUAAGUCAGUUGGGAAAGUUUGCGGCUAAACCGUAAAAUUGCAAUUGAUACUGGCAGUCUUGAGUACAGUUGAGGUAGGCGGAAUUCGUGGUGUAGCGGUGAAAUGCUUAGAUAUCACGAAGAACCCCGAUUGCGAAGGCAGCUUACUAAACUGUGACUGACAUUGAUGCUCGAAAGUGUGGGUAUCAAACAGGAUUAGAUACCCCAGUAGUC
rnacentral:rRNA from 1 species